rfam:Amazona aestiva scaffold_312, whole genome shotgun sequence.
UGUAAACAUCCUUGACUGGAAGCUUUAAGGUGUUAAAGGGGCUUUCAGUCGGAUGUUUACA